GGCGGUAAAAAAGUGGGGUAAAUGGAUUCGUAAUCAGUAGGUCAGCGGUUCAAAUCCGCUCAUCGGCUCCA
rnacentral:tRNA from 1 species